rnacentral:rRNA from 1 species
UACGUAGGGACCAAGCGUUGUUCGGAUUUACUGGGCGUAAAGGGCGCGUAGGCGGCUUAACAAGUCACUUGUGAAAUCUCCGGGCUUAACUCGGAACGGCCAAGUGAAACUGUCAAGCUAGAGUGCAGAAGGGGCAACUGGAAUUCUCGGUGUAGCGGUGAAAUGCGUAGAUAUCGAGAGGAACACCUGCGGCGAAGGCGGGUUGCUGGGCUGAUACUGACGCUGAGGCGCGAAAGCGUGGGGAGCAAACAGG